rnacentral:rRNA from 1 species
CCUACGGGGGGCAGCAGUGGGGAAUAUUGCGCAAUGGGCGAAAGCCUGACGCAGCGACGCCGCGUGAGGGAUGAAGGUCUUCGGAUCGUACACCUCUGUCAGCAGGGAAAAACGGUCACUUUGCUAAUCAGCAGUGAAUUGACGGUACCUGCAAAGGAAGCACCGUCUAACUCCGUGCCAGCAGCCGCGGUAAUCCGGAGGGUGCGAUCGUUACUCGGAAUUACUGGGCGUAAAGCGCUCGUAGGCGGUAUGUCAAGUCAAGGGUGAAAUCCCCGCGCUAAACGUGGGAACUGCCUUUGAAACUGGCAAAGUGGAGUGUGUGAGAGGAUAGUGGAAUUCCAGGUGUAGGAGUGAAAUCCGUAGAUAUCUGGAGGAACAUCAGUGGCGAAGGUGACUAUCUGGCACAUAACUGACGCUGAGGAGCGAAAGCGUGGGUAGCAAACAGGAUUAGAUACCCCUGUAGUC